ACUUGAGGUUACCUCUUAUUCAUUCAGAGGUUUUAAACCAUUAAGAUGUAGUAUCUGAAUGGUCAUUAAGAGGCUACAAACAGCCCCUGAAACUUUUAAGUGUUCAUGUGAUUGACUGAUUGGAUUGUUUGUUUGUUUCCACUUCUUAUCCCCACAUCCCCGUACACUCCUCUUUUCAAAUCCAACAUUUUCCCUAUUGCGUUGGUAUAGAGAGGGAGAGAGAGCCGGAAACCAAAGGUACGUGAAGAGGUGGUGACGGUGUUACUGGUUUUGAGUCAUUCUCUUCCUUAUCAUCACCUGAAACAAAAACCUGAACACCGCUCAUUCGUCUCAAGAUCAAGGUAUGUGUAUCUCUAACUCUAAUUUCAUCAGUUUCAUUAUUAGGCAUUCAAAUCUUAUACUAUUGUUUUGUAAACUCUAACCCCAUCGUUAACCCCAAAAUUGAUGCUUCUUUGAUACACCUUAUCUCAGAUUUCCGAUUUCAACCAUACGUGUUUGGUAAGUUUUUUUGUUAGGUUUAUUAUUUUUUAUAUGAUUUGAUUUUUGUUAACCUGACUCAAAAUUAGGGUUUCACUUCCCUAUGAAAUUGAUAUUUUUGGGUUUCUCUUAUUUACGGUAUUUUAAAAGAUUUUCAUUUUUUGAAGAAUUUUCUAAUAUGUUGUCUACUCUUCUGUAUUUUUGUUCUUUUAUAAAAUAUCCUUUUUUUUAAAUUAUGUUUGAUACGGUUUGGAUUUAUGUUCUUAGACUUUAUGGAUUUAAGCAUAAAGUUUAGACUAUAGUGUGUGUUUGGAAUAACUUUGGGCAAGAUUAACUUCACAAACAUCAAAUAACUCUGCACAAAAGUUCAGUAUUAAAGUCAGUGAUGCCGCAUUGGAUUCAUAUUCUGUGCCUGAGGGUGCCGCUAGUGGUUUUAGACGGUUUAUCAUGUCAGAAAGUGGAGUGCUGCAGGUGCACUAUGUGAAGGUGUUGGAGAAAGGUGACACGUAUGAGAUUAUUGAGCGAAGUCUACCCAAGAAGCAAAAUGGGAAGAAAGAUCCAUUUGAAAUUGAGAAGGAGGAGAUGGAUAGAGUGGAUAGCUAUUGGGUAAAUAUGGUCAGGAAAGACAUACCAAAACAUCACAGAUUCUUUAUCGGCUUUCAAAGAAAGCAAUUAACUGACGCGAAGAGGUUUUCUGAGAACAGUCAAAGAGAGAUCACUUAAGUUGAUGAGGGGUGCUUCAGUUCGUACACGAAAACUCGCACGGGAUAUGUUGGUGUUUUGGAAAAGAGUCGAUAAGGAGAUGUCUGAGAUUAGGAAAAGAGAAGAAAAAGAGUUGUCGAAGCUUUGAAACGUGAACAGGAGCUUCGUGAAGCCAAACGGCAACAACAGAGAUUCGAAGUCUAUAUUGUGUGAGUUUUUCAAGGCUGGUCAACGUGCGAAAAUUCAAAUGCAAUUUUUCUCAUGACUUGAAUGUACAAAGGAAGGGUAAAAAGAUUGACAUUUUCAGUGAUAAGCGUGAUGAAGGAACAAUGGAGGACUGGGAUUUGGAGACGGUGGAAAAAGUUGUGGAAUCAAAAGGAAAAGAGUACAACCAGAAUAAAUCAACCGACAUCGUUUGCAAACACUUCCUCGAUGCAGUGGAGAAAAAGCAAUAUGGUUGGUUCUGGGUAUGUCCAAUCGGUAAUAAAGAGUGUCAUUACAGAAACGCUCUCCCUCCCGGAUACAUCUUGAAAUCCCAAAUGAAAGCUCUUUUAGAAGAAGAGGCUAACAAGCUAGCUAUCGAGGAUGAGAUUGAGGAUCAGUUUAAUGAAGAAGAUGGCAAAGUGUGCCAAGGAAGGCAUGAGGGUGGAAGCAAGCAAAUCAGAAAUUUAUGGAACAAAGCAUGAUGCUUUUGUUGACAUGAUUGCCAGUGUAUUUAUUUAAAUAUCUUAUAUGACUUCUUAUAAUGAUUGGCAUUGUGAUUGACUUCUAACUUUUGAUGUCAAAGUUUGACGCUUUGUUUAUGUAAUUACACUUUGUAUUUUA